CCCGUGUGUGUAGACGGUAGCAGACCUGGCUGAAGUUCAGGAAUAAUUCAUCGCAGUUAUGCUGCUCCGUGCAACGAUGGAGCUAUAAAUACACAGGGGGCGACACGUGAGGCCCGAGGAGUCAACAGGAGUCAACGGGAGCGGCGGUCCUUCAAGGGGUUUCGCUGGAGAAGUCAAAGCCGCUGCGCUUCCAUCGGCCUGAAGACAGGAAGGGUGAGAGUGGACGCGGUGUCAUGUGGGGCCGGGAGAAGCCGGGGGUCUCUCCCACGUCCCGUGAAAAGCAAACUCCUGCUGAACUUUGCCGGAGUCAUCUGGAAAUCAGGCGCUUGUCCCUGAAUGGCCUCGGAGCAGGAGGGGAGACUCCGCAGCAUCGUUUUGAGAGAUGAUGAAUUAAGAGACGAUUUCAGAGUAAACUGGGUUUCCUGCUCAUCAAAUACACCGACCAACAGAGUCCCCUCGUCAUAGGCCCUCCACCAACGUAGCUUUGGCCUUUCACGCUCGUCUCCAAACAUGGUGCUGAGCUUUAUGGUCAAACGUCUCUACCUUGGUCUCCUCAGGUCCAAACGACCUGCGGCAACGCGUCGACUCCUUCCUGGGAAGAAUAGCAACCUUUGGCACUAGACAAUGACGGCAAAACUAUAACUUUGGAACAUCACCGCAUACAUUAAAAUGAUUAAAAACUAAGUUUGCUGACAGCCAGAGCCAAAAAACAGAGAGAGAGAUCAAAACGAUGGACACAAGGGGAGAACGUCUGUCCGUAAAGGUAUAAUGUAGACAUAAACACCAGAUUUGUGUCAUUACCUCGGUAAAUGCUCGUCUUAAUGUCACCCGCCUAAUUAUAAGAGCUGUUUUCAAAGACUAUUUGGGAACUAUUUUAAUCCCGGCUGGUAUUUCUGAUCCCUGAGUGCGUUUGUAAGCGGAGCUGCAACAGGAGCCAACAGGCUGCCGGUGUAAAAAAAACCCAGACGGUGUUUAUGAAUGGAGCGCGACGAUGUGUUUGUAGAUUCAGCUGCAAAUAAAGACUGUGAAGGUC